UACGAAUGGAGCGAGCGUUGUUCGGAAUCACUGGGCGUAAAGGGUGCGCAGGCGGUCAUGAAAGUCAGAAGUGAAAUCCCAGGGCUUAACCCUGGAAUGGCUUUUGAAACUCCAUGACUAGAGUACUGGAGAGGUUAGCGGAAUUCCAAGUGUAGCAGUGAAAUGCGUAGAUAUUUGGAGGAACACCAAUGGCGUAGGCAGCUAACUGGACAGUAACUGACGCUCAUGCACGAAAGCGUGGGGAUCAAACAGGAUUAGAUACCCUGGUAGUCCACGCCCUAAACGAUGUGUGCUAGUUGUCGGGCCCUUAGGGUUCGGUGACGCAGCUAACGCUUUAAGCACACCGCCUGGGGAGUACGGUCGCAAGAUUAAA
rnacentral:rRNA from 1 species